CAGCCGCCGCGGUAAAACCAGCACCUCGAGUGGUCAGGAUGAUUAUUGGGCCUAAAGCAUCCGUAGCCGGCUCUGUAAGUUUUCGGUUAAAUCUGUACGCUCAACGUACAGGCUGCCGGGAAUACUGCAGAGCUAGGGAGUGGGAGAGGUAGACGGUACUCGGUAGGAAGGGGUAAAAUCCUUUGAUCUAUUGAUGACCACCUGUGGCGAAGGCGGUCUACCAGAACACGUCCGACGGUGAGGGAUGAAAGCUGGGGGAGCAAACCGGAUUAGAUACCCGGGUAGUCCCAGCUGUAGACUAUGCAAACUCAGUGAUGCAUUGGCUUGUGGCCAAUGCAGUGCUGCAGGGAAGCCGUUAAGUUUGCCGCCUGGGAAGUACGUACGCAAGUAUGAAACUUAAAGGAAUUGGCGGGGGAGCAC
rnacentral:rRNA from 2 species